AUGACUGCAAUAGAAUACAGUUGUUCUGUGAAGCAGGUUGAUGUACAAGGGCAGAGACCAGCAGCUGGCAUCGAUUUGGGUGCAAUCUACGACUAUGUGGGUGUCUUCCAGCAUGGAAGGGUGUAAAUGAUUGCCAAUGGCCAGGACAACUGACCCUUACCAACAUAGGUUGCUUUUACUGACUCAGAACAAUUAAUUGGGGAUGCUGUGAGGAAUGAGGUUGCAAUGAACCCCACCAAGACAGUUUUUGAUGCCAAACAUCUGAUCAGGCAUAAGUUUGAUCAUGCCAUUGUUCCAUGUGAAAUAAAACAUUGAUCCUUCAUGGUGAUGAAUGAUGAAUGCAGGUCCAAGGUGCAAGCAGAAAGCAAAGGAGAGACAAAAAGUUUCUUCCCAGAGGAGGUAUCCUCUAUGGUUUCAAAAAAGAUGAAGAAAUUUGGAGAAGCCUAUCUUGGGAAGACUGUUACCAAUGACUGUCAGCAGUAGGCAAUAAAAGGUGCUGGAGUUAUUGGGGGCCUCAGUGUGCUUAAUUAUCAAUGAAUCUGCUGCUGCUUUGACUUACGGCUUAGAUACAACAGUUGGAGCUGAAAGUAAUGUGUUAAAUCUAUUUAUCUGGGAGGUGGUAUUUUUGAUGUGUCAAUUCUCACUAUUGAUUAUAGAUUUUUUUAGGUCAAACCUAGAGCUGGAGAUACCCACUUGGGUAAAGAAGAUUGAAAAUCUAGUGGUCUACCAUUUUAUUGCUGAGUUUAAAUGCAAGUAUGAGAAGGACAUCAGUGAGAACAAGAGAGCUGUCCCUUAUCUGUACUGCUUGUAAAUGGACUAAAUGUACCCUCUCCUCCAGCACCGAGGCCAGUGUUGAGAUUGAUUUUUUCUUAUGAGGGAAUAGACUUCUAUACCUCUAUUACCUGUCCUCAAUCUGAAGACUUAAAUGCUGAUCUGUUCCAUGGCACUCUACCCUGUAGAAAAGUCCCUUUGAGAUGCCAAAAUAGACAAGUCACAGAACCAUAAUACUGUCUUGGUGGGUGGUUCUACCAGGAUCCCCAAGAUUCAGAAGUUUCUGAAUGACUUCUUUAAUGGAAAAGAACUGAGUGUGAGCAUUAACCCCGAUGAAGCUAUUUCUUUUCAGAUUCAGAGUAUCAACUCUUACCUUUGA